rnacentral:ncRNA from 1 species
GUUAUCAAGAAAGGCUGAGGGAAUAGACCCAUUGAUGCCUUAGCAACCCUUUACGCUGUAAAGAAGGUGCUAAAUUCUACCUAGUUUUAAACUUUGGGGUAGAUAA